UACAGAGGUGGCAAGCGUUGUUCGGAAUUACUGGGCGUAAAGGGCGCGUAGGCGGUUCGUUAAGUCCUGUGUGAAAUCCCCCGGCUCAACUGGGGAACUGCACAGGAAACUAGCGGGCUUGAGUUCGGGAGAGGGAAGCGGAAUUCCGGGUGUAGCGGUGAAAUGCGUAGAUAUCCGGAGGAACACCGGUGGCGAAGGCGGGCUCCUGGACCG
rnacentral:rRNA from 1 species